rnacentral:rRNA from 1 species
CCUUGUACACACCGCCCGUCACGCCAUGGAAGCUGGGGGACCUGAAGCCGGUGGGCUAACCGCAAGGGGCAGCCGUCAAAGGUCAAUUCAGUGACUGGGCG